UACCAAAAAUGAAUUCAGUUCAAUUUAAAUUUACUAAAAAAAUUAUAGAAUUUUAAAGUAAGUUUAAAAUUUAGCCAAAAGAGGGACAGCUCUUUAGGAAUGGAAAAAACCUUAAAUAGUGAAUAAACUAAUCAAACUAAACAAACCAUUGUAGGCCUAAAAGCAGCCACCAAUAAAGAAAGCGUUCAAGCUCAACAUUGUAAUUGAAAUAAUUCCAUAAGUAAAAUAAAUUCCUAUACUUAAAUUGGGUUAAUCUAUUAUUAUAUAGAUGAAAUACUGUUAAUAUGAGUAACAAGAAUUAUAUUCUCCUUGCACAAGUGUAUAACAACUCGGAUACCCAUUGUUAGUUAUCAAACUAUAGGUCAAACCCAACAAAUAAACCCACCUAAAAAUUUAUUGUUAACCCAACACAGGAGUGCUAUAAGGAAAGAUUAAAAAAAAUAAAAGGAACUCGGCAAGCCGGAACCCCGCCUGUUUACCAAAAACAUCACCUCUAGAAUAACAAAUAUUAGAGGCAUUGCCUGCCCAGUGACUAAAGUUUAACGGCCGCGGUAUCCUGACCGUGCAAAGGUAGCAUAAUCACUUGUUCUCUAAUUAGGGACUAGAAUGAACGGCUAAACGAGGGUUCAACUGUCUCUUAUUUUUAAUCAGUGAAAUUGACCUUCCAGUGAAGAGGCUGGAAUUGUAUAAUAAGACGAGAAGACCCUAUGGAGCUUUAAUUUAACAGUUUAAUUAAUUAAUAUAACUAACCUAAAUGGAAUAACAUAUAAUAAUAUAAACUUAAAAUUUCGGUUGGGGUGACCUCGGAGAAAAAAUAAUCCUCCGAAUGAUUAUAACUUAGACUAACAAGUCAACGUACAUAUUGAAUCUUAUUGACCCAAUUUUUGAUCAACGGACCAAGUUACCCUAGGGAUAACAGCGCAAUCCUACUUAAGAGUUCAUAUCGACAGUUAGGGUUUACGACCUCGAUGUUGGAUCAGGACAUCCCAAUGGUGCAGAAGCUAUUAAUGGUUCGUUUGUUCAACGAUUAAAGUCCUACGUGAUCUGAGUCAGACG
rnacentral:rRNA from 1 species